rnacentral:rRNA from 1 species
AUUGAACGCUGGCGGCAGGCCUAACACAUGCAAGUCGAGCGGAGCGGCGGACGGGUGAGUAAUGCAUAGGAAUCUGCCUGGUAGUGGGGGAUAACGUCCGGAAACGGGCGCUGAUACCGCACACUAUCAGUUGAGUCUAGGUGGGAUUAGCUAGUUGGUGGGGUAAUGGCUUACCAAGGCGACGAUCCGUAACUGGUCGGAGAGGAUGAUCAGUCACACGGGAACUGAGACACGGGCCAGACUCCUACGGGAGGCAGCAGUGGGGAAUAUUGGACAAUGGGCGCAAGCCUGAUGCAGCCAUGCCGCGUGUGUGAAGAAGGUCUUAGGGUUGUAAAGUACUUUAAGUUGGGAGGCGUUACCGACAGAAUAAGCACCGGCUAACUUCGUGCCAGCAGCCGCGGUAAUUC